AGCAAAUCAGUGGGUUUCACGAUAUACGAAGGGCAAAUAUAUGUGCAGACCAUGAUGUGUUGGUAGUCUGGUCAGAGGCAUAUGCAAAAUUUGGAGGCAGGUAGCCGCAUCUCUCUUCACUCAGAGCUCAGUUUCAGAUGCAGUUCCCUCCGUGUCUAAGUAUCUACAUUACCUGGGAGAGAACAUCCUGCAGACAUAGAUUGUAGGGAAUGCCUGAGUAGGCAUACUCUGUUUAAAACAGCGAUAACUUGAAGCAUAAGUAUUCAAAGUGAUUGUCAGUAUCUGAACUCGAGUUGCCAGUGUGAUCUGAGAGGGAUUAUAGAUAAUGUUUUGCGUUACUUGUUCUGGUAAUGAAAAUUCUAUUUGUCUUGUGAAACACAUACAAUCCCACAAAAUCUUAUGCCUUGUAGUAAUUAGUAAUGAUUUCGUUAUAUGUGGUUGUAGAUGUAGUAGAUGCAUUAAGACUGAUUAGAUGUAUAUCUAGAUGUGUUGAGGUUGAUUAGGUGCAAGGAAGAGAGUGGGAUUUACAGAUAUUCCAGUUAAAAAUUUGACAAUUUGUAUAUUAUGUUAGCUGAAGUGUAGGCCUAAUACUUGAGGAUAUACUAUUUAAAAAGUUUAGCUGUACAACUGGUUGUAAUAUUGAAGAAAAUAUCUUUCUUGGAAGUACUUUAGUGCAAUAAAUUUCAUUGCAACUGCAGGUAAAUAAGUUUGUGUAAAACUUCUUGCAGGUAAGACUGGCGCACUGAACUGCUGCAGAAACAAAGCGAUGUAUAGAUGUCAGAUGAUAAUCUUGUGUUCAUCAUCAAAAUGAAAGUUGUAACACACUCAGGAAAUGAGCACAGAAGAGCAGAUGUAGGAAUCAAGUGUCACUGCACUCGGUGAGGUUGUAAUGGAGUUGGUUUGCGGUAGGAUGAAACCCAGUGCUGGUCCAUGGGCCUACUGUUCUCAAAAAGUACGUUGCGGCUGCUGAGCUUAACUCUAAAUCUGAAGAACAGAAAGUGUCACAUGCCUUCACAUCAUGAGACAGUGAAAGAAGGUACAAAUGUAAUCCAGGACAUUAGCGCAAAAUGUGAUCACGAACUUUACGCCAUCACCUCUCAUCCCUUUGUCACCCAAAUACUGGCAUUGAAAAUUUUCCACCACCAGGAUGACUUGCAUCCAAGUUGAGAGCCACCACACAGAACUUUGUUAGCAACCUUGGUUAUGGAGAUGGGGCCAUCUCACCACAAUCGUAGAAAUUUCAAAGCAAUAGGCCUACUGCUGUGUUAACAUUGCCAAGUUCUGUAAACAUUCUCCUGUUUGUUUUUACCCCAAAUGUCAUAUAAGAGUGGGAUCCAACACACUCUCUACAUCAUUUGUCCACUAAAUUCAAAUGGUCGGUGGAGGAAAGAUGUUUGUUUAUGUUCAUCCAUAAAUAAACAUUUAUUUGCACUCAAUGUCAUCAAGAUUAAAGCUGAUAACUGAAGAUCUAGCUGAAGCCUCUUCAGGCUUCUUAUACUUAAAUGCCAAUACAUAUAUUCCCUAACGGUAUUUGUGGACAACAGAAACUUUAAUGAACUCGGCAAUUCACAACCACAGUACUACAGGUAGAAAUAAUUUACUUCUCCUGGUUUAAAAGGGAGUUUUAUAUUCUGGUGCAAAAGAUUGUAACAGGUGGACUGUAGAAAAGAAACUAAACAUUCCCACCCAUCCAUAUAAACGGCAAGUUGACAUAUCCUGAGCAUGUGAAUUUGUUGAAAACAAGUGACCAGUCAGUGUGUAAAAAAGAGUCGAGCUAAGACACUAAAAGUAAGUUGUCAGUCAGUGUGUGAAAAUAAUCAAGCUGUAUACGGAAAAAAAGAGGAAGUAUCCAGUCAACGUGUGAAAGCAAACAAGCUACUGCAUGUUUGUUUUGCUUCACAAUUGCUAAAUAUGUAUGGGAAUUGGACAUGCAUCCUAAUCUCCUUCUCCCUUACAUCUCUGUUUCCUCCUGUCGCCUACCAUCUCCUUCCCCCUCUCUCUGUCCAUCUCCUCCUCUGCCCUCUCUAUAUCCAUUUCUUCCCUCCCUGCCAAUGGCCACCUCUUCUCUCCCCCUUCUCUCUCUGAGCUUGAGCCUUGCUUGUUAUUACAAUUUUAGUUUCCAUAGUAGUAUUCUAAUCAUAAACCAUAAAUACAAUGUUCCUGUUUCCUGUGAAAACAGAUUGCAAG